AGUGAACGCUGGCGGUAGGCCUAACACAUGCCAGUCGAACGGCAGCACAGUAAGAGCUUGCUCUUACGGGUGGCGAGUGGCGGACGGGUGAGGAAUACAUCGGAAUCUACUUUUUCGUGGGGGAUAACGUAGGGAAACUUACGCUAAUACCGCAUACGACCUACGGGUGAAAGCAGGGGAUCUUCGGACCUUGCGCGAUUGAAUGAGCCGAUGUCGGAUUAGCUAGUUGGCGGGGUAAAGGCCCACCAAGGCGACGAUCCGUAGCUGGUCUGAGAGGAUGGUCAGCCACACUGGAGCGUGGACACGGUCCAGGCUCCUACGGGAGGCAGCAGUGGGGAAUGUUGGACAAUGGGCGCAAGCCUGAUCCAGCCAUACCGCGUGGGUGAAGAAGGCCUUCGGGUUGUAAAGCCCUUUUGUUGGGAAAGAAAAGCAGCAGGUUAAUACCCUGCUGUUCUGACGGUACCCAAAGAAUAAGCACCGGCUAACUUCGUG
rnacentral:rRNA from 1 species